UUACAAAUUUAUAAUUGGACUUGGGCGUUUACUCUUUUCAAGUUCUCCAUCCAAAGCAAGAUUUUCAGAGACACUAGCAUUUACAGCUUAAAAUAGCAGAAAGUAAUAAAAGAGAUGCACAUAAACACAAGUGAAGCUUAAAAUAGCAGAAAGUAAUAAAAGAGAUGCACAUAAACACAAGUGAAGCAGGUGAGAGUUCUGCUAAAAAACUAAAUUUAAGAAGAAAAAAAAGCUCUUUCUUGAUUUCCCAUAAUGGUUGAAAAAAAAAGACAGAAAAU
rnacentral:lncRNA from 1 species